rnacentral:snRNA from 1 species
AUCGCUUCUCGGCCUUUUGGCUAAGAUCAAGUGUAGUAUCUGUUCUUAUCAGUUUAAUAUCUGAUACGCCCCCGAUUCGGGGGGCAACGUAUUAAACCCAUUUUUAGAACAGGGAGCUGAAUAACAGGGAGAUGGAAUAGGGGCUUGCUCCGUCCACUCCACGCAUCGACCUGGUAUUGCAGUAUUUCCAGGAACGGUGCACCCCCC